AGGAAAAGAAACUAACAAGGAUUCCCCUAGUAACGGCGAGUGAACCGGGAAGAGCUCAAAUUUGAAAUCUGGCGUCCUCAGGGCGUCCGAGUUGUAAUCUAUAGAGGCGUUUUCCGUGCCGGACCGUGUCCAAGUUCCUUGGAACAGGAUAUCAAAGAGGGUGACAAUCCCGUACUUGACACGACGACCGGUGCUCUGUGAUACGUCUUCUACGAGUCGAGUUGUUUGGGAAUGCAGCUCAAAAUGGGUGGUGAGUUCCAUCUAAAGCUAAAUAUUGGCGAGAGACCGAUAGCGAACAAGUACCGUGAGGGAAAGAUGAAAAGCACUUUGGAAAGAGAGUUAAACAGUACGUGAAAUUGUUGAAAGGGAAACGAUUGAAGUCAGUCGUGACCGAGAGGCUCAGCCGGUUCUGCCGGUGUAUUCCCCUCGGUCGGGUCAACAUCAGUUUUGUCCGGUGGAUAAGGGCGGUAGGAAGGUGGCACCCUCGGGUGUGUUAUAGCCUGCCGUCGCAUACAUCGGGUGAGACUGAGGAACGCAGCUCGCCUUUAUGGCCGGGGUUCGCCCACGUCCGAGCUUAGGAUGUUGACAUAAUGGCUUUAAACGACCCGU
rnacentral:rRNA from 1 species